rnacentral:sRNA from 1 species
GGAUGGCUUUGCGUCCAGUAAGAAAGGGAGGCUCCUGAAAA